rnacentral:rRNA from 1 species
UCAUGCAACGUCGAGCGGAUGAAAGGAGCUUGCUCCUGGAUUCAGCGGCGGACGGGUGAGUAAUGCCUAGGAAUCUGCCUGGUAGUGGGGGACAACGUUUCGAAAGGAACGCUAAUACCGCAUACGUCCUACGGGAGAAAGCAGGGGACCUUCGGGCCUUGCGCUAUUAGAUGAGCCUAGGUCGGAUUAGCUAGUUGGUGAGGUAAUGGCUCACCAAGGCGACGAUCCGUAACUGGUCUGAGAGGAUGAUCAGUCACACUGGAACUGAGACACGGUCCAGACUCCUACGGGAGGCAGCAGUGGGGAAUAUUGGACAAUGGGCGAAAGCCUGAUCCAGCCAUGCCGCGUGUGUGAAGAAGGUCUUCGGAUUGUAAAGCACUUUAAGUUGGGAGGAAGGGUUGUAGAUUAAUACUCUGCAAUUUUGACGUUACCGACAGAAUAAGCACCGGCUAACUCUGUGCCAGCAGCCGCGGUAAUACAGAGGGUGCAAGCGUUAAUCGGAAUUACUGGGCGUAAAGCGCGCGUAGGUGGUUCGUUAAGUUGGAUGUGAAAUCCCCGGGCUCAACCUGGGAACUGCAUCCAAAACUGGCGAGCUAGAGUAUGGUAGAGGGUGGGGGGGAAUUUCCUGUGUAGCGGUGAAAUGCGUAGAUAUAGGAAGGAACACCAGUGGCGAAGGCGACCACCUGGACUGAUACUGACACUGAGGUGCGAAAGCGUGGGGAGCAAACAGGAUUAGAUACCCUGGUAGUCCACGCCGUAAACGAUGUCAACUAGCCGUUGGGAGCCUUGAGCUCUUAGUGGCGCAGCUAACGCAUUAAGUUGACCGCCUGGGGGAGUACGGCCGCAAGGUUAAAACUCAAAUGAAUUGACGGGGGCCCGCACAAGCGGUGGAAGCAUGUGGUUUAAUUCGAAAGCAACGCGAAAGAACCUUACCAGGCCUUGACAUCCAAUGAACUUUCCAGAGAUGGAUUGGUGCCUUCGGGAACAUUGAGACAGGUGCUGCAUGGCUGUCGUCAGCUCGUGUCGUGAGAUGUUGGGGUUAAGUCCCCGUAACCGAGCGCAACCCCUUGUCCCUUAGUUUACCAGCCACGUUUAUGGGUGGGGCACUUCUAAGGAAGACUGGCCGGGUGACAAACCCGGAAGGAAAAGGUGGGGGAAUGAACGUCCAAGUUCAUCCAUGGGCCCCUUUACCGGCCCUGGGGCUA